rnacentral:rRNA from 1 species
GAUCAAGUAAAGGAAGAGCACAAGGCGGAUGCCUUGGCAGCAUAAGGCGAUGAAGGACGUAAUAACCUGCGAUAAGCCUCGGGGAGCUGGUAAAUAAGCUUCGAUCCGAGGAUUUCCGAAUGGGAAAACCCAAUAUACGUAAGUAUAUUAUCUUAUACUGAAUACAUAGGUAUAAGAGGCAAACCUAGGGAACUGAAACAUCUAAGUACCUAGAGGAAAAGAAAUCAACUGAGAUUCCGGUAGUAGCGGCGAGCGAAACCGGAGCAGCCCUUAAGCUUUUAUUAGUCCAGCAAAAUAUUCUGGAAAGUUUAGCCAUAGUAGGUGAUAGCCCUGUAUGCGAAAGACUAAUUUAAGUGAAAUCGAGUAGGUCGGGACACGUGAAAUCUUGACUGAAUAUGGGGGGACCAUCCUCCAAGGCUAAAUACUCUAUGCUGACCGAUAGUGAACCAGUACCGUGAGGGAAAGGCGAAAAGAACCCCGGCGAGGGGAGUGAAAUAGAACCUGAAACCUUGUGCUUACAAGCAGUCGGAGCAGACUUGUUCUGUGACGGCGUACCUUUUGUAUAAUGGGUCAACGACUUAAUUUUAGUAGCAAGCUUAACCAUUUAGGGUAGGCGUAGGGAAACCGAGUCUUAAUAGGGCGCUCAGUUGCUGGAAUUAGACCCGAAACCGGGUGAUCUAUCCAUGGCCAGUGUGAAGGUCGAGUAACAUCGACUGGAGGCGCGAACCCACUUAUGUUGAAAAAUGAGGGGAUGAGCUGUGGAUAGGAGUGAAAGGCUAAUCAAACCCGGAGAUAGCUGGUUCUCUUCGAAAACUAUUUAGGUAGUGCCUCGUGUAUUACUGUAGGGGGUAGAGCACUGUUUCGGCUAGGGGGUCAUCCCGACUUACCAAACCGAUGCAAACUCCGAAUACCUACAAGUAUGAGCACGGGAGACAGACUGCGGGUGCUAACGUCCGUAGUCGAGAGGGAAACAACCCAGACUGUCAGCUAAGGUCCCAAAGUAUGAUUAAGUGGGAAACAAUGUGGGAAGGCACAAACAGCUAGGAGGUUGGCUUAGAAGCAGCCAUCCUUUAAAGAAAGCGUAAUAGCUCACUAGUCGAGUCGGCCUGCGUGGAAGAUAUAACGGGGCUAAAUCAUACACCGAAGCUACAGAUCUUAAAUUUAUUUAAGAUGGUAGAAGAGCGUUCUGUAAGCCGCUGAAGGUAAGCUGAGAGGCGAACUGGAGGUAUCAGAAGUGCGAAUGUUGACAUGAGUAACGAUCAAAGAGGUGAAAAACCUCUUCGCCGAAAAACCAAGGGUUCCUGUCCAACGCUAAUCGAGGCAGGGUGAGGCGGCCCCUAAGGCGAGGGCGAAAGCCGUAGUCGAUGGGAAACAGGUUAAUAUUCCUGUACUUUUUACAACUGCGAUGGGGUGACGUAUAAGUUAAACUAGCACGGCGACGGUUGUCCGUGUUUAAGGUUGUAGGCUGGCGUUUUAGGUAAAUCCGGAAUGCUAAGGCUGAGAACUGAUGACGACCACUCAUUGAGUGGGAAGUAGUUGAUACCAUGCUUCCAGGAAAAACCUCUAAGCUUCAGGUUGUAAGGAACCGUACCCUAAACCGACACAGGUGGUUAGGUCGAGUAGACCAAGGUGUUUGAGAGAACUAUGGUGAAGGAACUAGGCAAAAUAGCACCGUAACUUCGGGAGAAGGUGCGCUGCGUUUGGUGAUGAGACUUGCUCUCUGAGCUGAACGUAGUCGAAGAUACCAGGUGGCUGCGACUGUUUACUAAAAACAUAGCACUCUGCAAACUCGUAAGAGGAAGUAUAGGGUGUGACGCCUGCCCGGUGCCGGAAGGUUAAUUGAUGGGGUUAGCUUAUGCGAAGCUCUUGAUCGAAGCCCCGGUAAACGGCGGCCGUAACUAUAACGGUCCUAAGGUAGCGAAAUUCCUUGUCGGGUAAGUUCCGACCUGCACGAAUGGCGUAACGAUGGCCACACUGUCUC